rnacentral:rRNA from 1 species
GUCCACGCUGUAAACGAUGAUCACUGGGUGUAGCGGGUACUCAUUCCUGCUGUGCCGUAGCUAACGCGUUAAGUGAUCCGCCUGGGGAUUACGGUCGCAAGACUAAAACUCAAAGGAAUUGACGGGGGCCCACACAAGCGGUGGAGUAUGUGGUUUAAUUCGACGCAACGCGCAGAACCUUACCUGGGCUUGACAUCCCCGGACAACCCUGGAAACAGGGCCUUCCCCUUCGGGGGAUCGGGUGACAGGUGCUGCAUGGCUGUCGU